rnacentral:rRNA from 2 species
GGGUUGUGAGGUUAAGUGACUAAGCGUACACGGUGGAUGCCUAGGCAGUCAGAGGCGAUGAAGGGCGUGCUAAUCUGCGAAAAGCGUCGGUAAGGUGAUAUGAACCGUUAUAACCGGCGAUACCCGAAUGGGGAAACCCAGUGUGUUUCGACACACUAUCAUGUCAUGAAUACAUAGUGGCAUGAGGCGAACCGGGGGAACUGAAACAUCUAAGUACCCCGAGGAAAAGAAAUCAACCGAGAUUCCCCCAGUAGCGGCGAGCGAACGGGGAGGAGCCCAGAACCUGAAUCGGCUUGUGUGUUAGUGGAAGCGUCUGGAAAGUCGCGCAGCAAAGGGUGAUAGCCCCGUACACUAAAAUGCACAGGUCGUGAGUUCGAUGAGUAGGGCGGGACACGUGACAUCCUGUCUGAAUAUGGGGGGACCAUCCUCCAAGGCUAAAUACUCCUGACUGACCGAUAGUGAACCAGUACCGUGAGGGAAAGGCGAAAAGAACCCCGGCGAGGGGAGUGAAAUAGAACCUGAAACCGUGUACGUACAAGCAGUGGGAGCACCUUCGUGGUGUGACUGCGUACCUUUUGUAUAAUGGGUCAGCGACUUAUAUUUUGUAGCAAGGUUAACCGUAUAGGGGAGCCGUAGGGAAACCGAGUCUUAACUGGGCGA